rnacentral:rRNA from 1 species
CACGUAGGGGGCAAGCGUUGUCCGGAUUUAUUGGGCGUAAAGAGCUCGUAGGCGGCUUGUCGCGUCGAAUGUGAAAACUUGGGGCUCAACCCUAAGCCUGCAUUCGAUACGGGCAGGCUAGAGUUCGGUAGGGGAGACUGGAAUUCCUGGUGUAGCGGUGAAAUGCGCAGAUAUCAGGAGGAACACCGGUGGCGAAGGCGGGUCUCUGGGCCGAUACUGACGCUGAGGAGCGAAAGCGUGGGGAGCGAACAGG